GCAAGUCGAGCGCGAAAGUGGACUUCGGGCCACGAGUAGAGCGGCGAACGGGUGAGGAACGCGGGGGUGAUCCGCCUUCGAGUGGGGAAUAACACCGGGAAACUGGUGCUAAUACCGCAUGACAUCUUCGAGGCGUUUCGGAGAUCAAAGCUGGGGACCGUAAGGCCUGGCGCUUGAAGAGGAGCCCGCGUCCGAUUAGCUAGUUGGCGGGGUAAUGGCCCACCAAGGCUUCUAUCGGUAGCCGGCCUGAGAGGGCGGAC
rnacentral:rRNA from 1 species